rnacentral:rRNA from 1 species
UACGUAGGGGGCAAGCGUUAUCCGGAUUUACUGGGUGUAAAGGGAGCGUAGACGGCAUGGCAAGCCAGAUGUGAAAUACCGGGGCUCAACCCCGGGACUGCAUUUGGAACUGUUAAGCCGGAGUGUCGGAGAGGCAGGCGGAAUUCCUAGUGUAGCGGUGAAAUGCGUAGAUAUUAGGAGGAACACCAGUGGCGAAGGCGGCCUGCUGGACGAUAACUGACGUUGAGGCUCGAAAGCGUGGGGAGCAAACAGG